rnacentral:rRNA from 1 species
AACGAACGCUGGCGGCAUGCCUAACACAUGCAAGUCGAACGAGACCUUCGGGUCUAGUGGCGCACGGGUGCGUAACGCGUUGGAACCUGCCCUUAGGUUCGGAAUAACUCCCCGAAAGGGGUGCUAAUACCGGAUAAUGUCUUCGGACCAAAGAUUUAUCGCCUUUGGAUUGGCCCGCGUUGGAUUAGCUAGUUGGUAGGGUAAAAGCCUACCAAUGCGACGAUCCAUAGCUGGUCUGAGAGGAUGAUCAGCCACACUGGGACUGAGACACGGCCCAGAAUCCUGCGGGAGGCAGCAGUGGGCAAUAUUGGACAAUGGGCGAAAGCCUGAUCCAGCAAUCCCCCUUGAGUGAUGAAGGCCUUAGGGUUGUAAAGCUCUUUUACCCGGGAUGAUAAUGACAGUACCGGGAGAAUAAGCACCGGCUAACUCCGUG